CACAUAUAGGAUCAGUUUAUCUUCUAUAACCCUUAUCAAACCCUAGGUCAGUCCAUACACAACACAUCUAGGAUCAGUUUCCCUUCUCUAACCCAAGGUCAGUCCCUACACAACACAUCUAGGAUCAGUUUCCCUUCUCUAACCCAAGGUCAGUCCCUACACAACACAUCUAGGAUCAGUUUCCCUUCUCUAACCCAAGGUCAGUCCCUACACAACACAUCUAGGAUCAGUUUCCCUUCUCUAACCCAAGGUCAGUCCCUACACAACACAUCUAGGAUCAGUUUCCCUUCUCUAACCCAAGGUCAGUCCCUACACAACACAUCUAGGAUCAGUUUCCUUCUCGCUAACCCAAGGUCAGUCCCUACACAACACAUCUAGGAUCAGUUUAUCUUCUAUAACCCAAGGUCAGUCCCUACACAACACAUCUAGGAUCAGUUUAUCUUCUAUAACCCAAGGUCAGUCCCUACACAACACAUCUAGGAUCAGUUUAUCUUCUAUAACCCAAGGUCAGUCCCUACACAACACAUCUAGGAUCAGUUUAUCUUCUAUAACCCAAGGUCAGUCCCUACACAACACAUCUAGGAUCAGUUUCCCUUCUCUAACCCUUAUCAGAACCAGCAAGGGAGAAAACUGAGCUGCUCUCAGUACACAGCUUGACAUUUCUCUGUGAUUCUACACAGCUUGACGUUUCUCUGUGAU